rnacentral:tRNA from 1 species
AAUUAGAAAGCGAAAAGUUGCAUUUAGUUUCGGCCUAAAUUUUGGUUAUACAAACCUCUAAUUU